UACGUAGGGUGCAAGCGUUGUCCGGAAUUAUUGGGCGUAAAGAGCUCGUAGGCGGUUUGUCGCGUCGGCUGUGAAAUCCCGAGGCUCAACCUCGGGCCUGCAGUCGAUACGGGCAAACUAGAGUGUGGUAGGGGAGACUGGAAUUCCUGGUGUAGCGGUGAAAUGCGCAGAUAUCAGGAGGAACACCGGCGGCGAAGGCGGGUCUCGUGGGCCAUAACUGACGCUGAGGAGCGAAAGCGUGGGGAGCGAACAGG
rnacentral:rRNA from 1 species